rnacentral:rRNA from 1 species
GAUGAACGCUGGCGGCGUGCUUAACACAUGCAAGUCGAACGGACAGGCCCUGCUUUUGUGGGGUGCUCGAUUGGCGAACGGGUGAGUAACACGUGAGUAACCUGCCCUUGACUUUGGGAUAACUUCAGGAAACUGGGGCUAAUACCGGAUAGGAGCUCCUGCUGCAUGGUGGGGGUUGGUAAGUUUCGGUGGUUGGGGAUGGACUCGCGGCUUAUCAGCUUGUUGGUGGGGUAGUGGCUUACCAAGGCUUUGACGGGUAGCCGGCCUGAGAGGGUGACCGGCCACAAUGGGACUGAGAGACGGCCCAGACUCCUACGGGAGGCAGCAGUGGGGAAUAUUGCACAAUGGGCGGAAGCCUGAUGCAGCAACGCCGCGUGCGGGAUAACGGCCUUCGGGUUGUGAACCGCUUUCGCCGGUGACGAAGCGUGAGUGACGGUAAUGGGUAAAAAAGCACCGGCUAACUACGUG